rnacentral:rRNA from 1 species
AGAUUGCCGCAGAGUUUGAUCCUGGCUCAGAACGAACGCUGGCGGCAGGCUUAACACAUGCAAGUCGAGCGCCCCGCAAGGGGAGCGGCAGACGGGUGAGUAACGCGUGGGAAUCUACCCAUCCCUACGGAAUAACCCAGGGAAACUUGGACUAAUACCGUAUACGACCGAGAGGUGAAAGAUUUAUCGGGGAUGGAUGAGCCCGCGUUGGAUUAGCUAGUUGGUGGGGUAAAGGCCUACCAAGGCGACGAUCCAUAGCUGGUCUGAGAGGAUGACCAGCCACACUGGGACUGAGACACGGCCCAGACUCCUACGGGAGGCAGCAGUGGGGAAUAUUGGACAAUGGGCGCAAGCCUGAUCCAGCCAUGCCGCGUGAGUGAUGAAGGCCCUAGGGUUGUAAAGCUCUUUCAACGGUGAAGAUAAUGACGGUAACCGUAGAAGAAGCCCCGGCUAACUUCGUGCCAGCAGCCGCGGUAAUACGAAGGGGGCUAGCGUUGUUCGGAAUUACUGGGCGUAAAGCGCACGUAUGCGGAUUGGUCAGUUAGGGGUGAAAUCCCAGGGCUCAACCCUGGAACUGCCUUUAAUACUGCCAGUCUUGAGUUCGAGAGAGGUGAGUGGAAUUCCGAGUGUAGAGGUGAAAUUCGUAGAUAUUCGGAAGGACACCAGUGGCGAA